rnacentral:rRNA from 1 species
UACGAGGGGGGCGAGCGUUGUCCGGAAUUAUUGGGCGUAAAGAGCUCGUAGGCGGUUUGUCGCGUCUGCUGUGAAAACGCGAGGCUCAACCUCGCGCCUGCAGUGGGUACGGGCAGACUGGAGUGCGGUAGGGGAGAUUGGAAUUCCUGGUGUAGCGGUGAAAUGCGCAGAUAUCAGGAGGAACACCGGUGGCGAAGGCGGGUCUCUGGGCCGAUAUUGACGCUGAGGAGCGAAAGCGUGGGGAGCGAACAGG